UACGUAGGGGGCAAGCGUUAUCCGGAAUUACUGGGUGUAAAGGGUGAGUAGGGGGCAUGGUAAGCCAGAUGUGAAAGCCUUGGGCUUAACCCGAGGAUUGCAUUUGGAACUAUCAAGCUAGAGUACAGGAGAGGAAAGCGGAAUUCCUAGUGUAGCGGUGAAAUGCGUAGAUAUUAGGGAGAACACCAGUGGCGAAGGCGGCUUUCUGGACUGAAACUGACGCUGAGGCACGAAAGCGUGGGGAGCGAACAGG
rnacentral:rRNA from 1 species